rnacentral:rRNA from 1 species
GACGAACGCUGGCGGCGUGCCUAAUACAUGCAAGUCGAACGCAGUGGGGACGGUUGAGUAACACGUGGGUAACCUCCCAUCAGAGGGGAUAACACUUGGAAACAGGUGCUAAACCGAUACUGAUGGAUGAACCCGCGGUGCUUUAGCUAGUUGGUGAGGUAACGGCUCACCCAGGCGACGAUGCAUAGCCGACCUGAGAGGGUGAGCGGCCACACUGGGACUGAGACACGGCCCAGACUCCUACGGGAGGCAGCAGUAGGGAAUAUUGGGCAAUGGACGAAAGACGGACCGAGCAACGCCGCGUGAGUGAAGAAGGUUUUCGGAUCGUAAAACUCUUUUGGUAGGGAAGCGGUAUCUAAACAGAAAGCAACGGCUAACUACGUGCCAGCAGCCGCGGUAAUUC